rnacentral:rRNA from 1 species
AUGGGGGAUUUUAAUGAGGCCUUAUGGCAAUGUGAGCAUUUGUCUGCAACUCCUCGACCGGCCAAUCAGAUAGCUGCUUUUCGGGAAGUGGUGCAAGAUUGUGAACUGCAUGACCUUGGUUUUUCUGGGGCACCGUUCACGUAUGAUAAUAAAAGGAGAGGUGGAGCUAAUGUGAAAGUAAGAUUGGACAGGGCCUUGGCUGAUGAGAGAUGGCGAGAUAUCUUCUCUGAUGCUCACGUGGUACACCUAGUAUCGCCGUGCUCGGAUCACUUGCCAAUUUUAGUGCACAUGCAAAGGGAAGAGCGCACCUCGGUGCGUCGGCGAACAAGCCAAUAUGAGAUACUCUGGGAACGUGCUGGAGAGCUACCUGAGCUAGUGGAGAAAAUGUGGGCAGCCACCCAGACUAAUGGCAAUCUAGCAUCUGUUACGGCUGGUCUGCAUGCGGUCAUGCAAAAUCUACAAGGUUGGAGCCGAAGGAGAUUUGGUAAUGUAAUGCGUGAGCUUGAGAAAACACGUAGGAAACUGGAUCAUCUGUUGCAAACUGAUGGUGACCAACAUGAAAUAAGAAAAUUGUCUGAUAACAUGAACGAGCUGCUCUACCAGGAAGAACUCCUC